AGAGUUUGAUCAUGGCUCAGAUUGAACGCUGGCGGCAGGCCUAACACAUGCAAGUCGAGCGGAAACGACACUAACAAUCCUUCGGGUGCGUUAAUGGGCGUCGAGCGGCGGACGGGUGAGUAAUGCCUAGGAAAUUGCCUUGAUGUGGGGGAUAACCAUUGGAAACGAUGGCUAAUACCGCAUAAUGCCUACGGGCCAAAGAGGGGGACCUUCGGGCCUCUCGCGUCAAGAUAUGCCUAGGUGGGAUUAGCUAGUUGGUGAGGUAAUGGCUCACCAAGGCGACGAUCCCUAGCUGGUCUGAGAGGAUGAUCAGCCACACUGGAACUGAGACACGGUCCAGACUCCUACGGGAGGCAGCAGUGGGGAAUAUUGCACAAUGGGCGAAAGCCUGAUGCAGCCAUGCCGCGUGUAUGAAGAAGGCCUUCGGGUUGUAAAGUACUUUCAGUUGUGAGGAAGGGGGUAGCGUUAAUAGCGCUAUCUCUUGACGUUAGCAACAGAAGAAGCACCGGCUAACUCCGUGCCAGCAGCCGCGGUAAUAC
rnacentral:rRNA from 1 species